AGAGAGAAGACACAAGCCAUGGCAUUCGGCCAUGGCUAGCAAAAUUGGAGCUCGAAUUUCUUGAUCAAAAAAAUCAGAUUUUCAAAGUAUUCCAACCCGUUAGGAAGGCUAUAAUAACGUGGAUUAGUCAUUUGGAGCAACAAGAACAAGUAUUAUUUCAUUUCACAACUUCUAGCCAAAUUAAGGUUGAAGUGCCAAUCGAGACGAGUUUAAAUUAUUGAAUUGGUACAGACGACAAACGGUACAGACGUUUUUUUCUGGUGACUCACCCAUGUAGGAUAUAUUCUGCUACUUUGGAGUGCUCCUUUGACUCGGAGCCCAUACUUUUGGUAAAGACCUUUCAUUGUAUAUGUCUCUGUAUAUGUAUGUAUGACUAUCUGGGGUACGCGGGGCCCUGUCCCGUCAUAUGUUCUGUUAUGGUUUGUAGAGGCCUGUAGUCAUAUAUGUGGGUCAUGGGUCAUGUUUGUUCGAUUAUAUUUGUGAUUUGUGCCUUAAGCGGUCCCGUUUGCUAUUAUGGCCAAAACGGCCCAUAUGUUUGUAUAUGUAUGUGUAUCCGGGCGAUGUGUAUUCCGCCAGCCUAUCGAUUUUCGGUAUGAUAUUUCUGUACGGGUGACCGCUUAAGAUGAUAUCUGUUUUCAGUAUCUGUUUAAAAUGACGUAUGAUAAGUUUGAAUAAACCUUUGAUAUGUCGAUCUGGUACGUAAGUUCGUUUGGGUGUCCAAAUAGGACACCAGUCGCGGCCCACGGGGCUGGGUCGUGACAGAGUCGUACAUGGACACCAUGGGUCCCCUGCAGGUUAUAACUACUGAGGUAUGACAUCAGAUAGCAUAUGUGUACAGCUAGUGGGGUUAUGGUGAUAAAUUUGUUUCCGUUGGAGUUGACAUGUUCUGAUUCUUAGCAACUUGUUGAUUUGUUGUGAUUGUCCGUGGUUGACUUGUUGUGAUAUAUUGAUACUCGUGCAUGAUUGACUGGCUUGUUUAUUCUAUUGAUUUCAUAAGAUAUGCACGAUACUAAUCUUAGUCGGCCUAUGAUGCUUAUUGGUACAUAGUGUUUGAACUGAUAAUACCUUGCUGCAUUCUUUGAGUGCAAAUUUUGACAUAAAGACCGCUACUCGUCCUCACAUCUAGCGUGGAGGAUAUUUGCUGACAGAUUUUGGGGUGAGCUUCUUCUCAUGCCAGGACGUCCGAAUAGCUUCUACUUAUGAUUUCUUUUCUGAUUCUGGACAUUAUGGAUAUUUAUUAGGCAGAUUUCAGUUCUUAGACAUGUUUUGGCUUAGAGUCCUGUACGAUGACUUUCGGAUUUUAGGGGUUGUAAUAUUUAGAACUUCCGCACUUACUACAG